GUGGAUCAAGUUGGUGGGAAGCGUGCGGUGCCGCAGCAAUGGCGGCGCUCACAAUUGCCACGGGUACUGGCAAUUGGUUUUCGGCUUUGGCGCUCGGGGUGACUCUUCUCAAAUGCCUUCUCAUCCCCACAUAGGUCUCACUCUGCCUCUCAGGCUGUAGUGCAGUAGCAUGAUCUCAUCUCACUGCAACCUCCACCUUUCAGGCUCAAGCAAUCCUCCUACCUCAACCUGCCAAGUAGCUGGGACUUAAGCCAUUCCACAGAUUUUGAAGUACACCGAAACUGGCUUGCUAUCACUCACAGUUUGCCAAUAUCACAGUGGUAUUAUGAGGCAACUUCAGAGUGGACGUUGGAUUACCCCCCUUUCUUUGCAUGGUUUGAGUAUAUCCUGUCACAUGUUGCCAAAUAUUUUGAUCAAGAAAUGCUGAAUGUCCAUAAUUUGAAUUACUCCAGCUCAAGGACCUUACUUUUCCAGAGAUUUUCCGUCAUCUUUAUGGAUGUACUCUUUGUGUAUGCUGUCCGUGAGUGCUGUAAAUGCAUUGAUGGAAAAAAAGUGGGUAAAGAACUUACAGAAAAGCCAAAAUUUAUUCUGUCGGUAUUACUUCUGUGGAACUUCGGGUUAUUAAUUGUGGACCAUAUUCAUUUUCAGUACAAUGGCUUUUUAUUUGGAUUAAUGCUACUCUCCAUUGCACGAUUAUUUCAGAAAAGGCAUAUGGAAGGAGCAUUUCUCUUUGCUGUUCUCCUACAUUUCAAGCAUAUCUACCUCUAUGUAGCACCAGCUUAUGGUGUAUAUCUGCUGCGAUCCUACUGUUUCACUGCAAAUAAACCAG
rnacentral:lncRNA from 10 species